rnacentral:piRNA from 1 species
UCUGGCAACAUAGAGACUAAGGAACAGG